GUGCCAGCCGCCGCGGUAAUACAGAGGUCCCAAGCGUUGUUCGGAUUCACUGGGCGUAAAGGGUGCGUAGGUGGUCGGGUAAGUCUGAUGUGAAAUCUCCGAGCUCAACUCGGAAACUGCAUCGGAUACUAUUCGGCUCGAGGAUCGGAGGGGAGACUGGAAUUCUCGGUGUAGCAGUGAAAUGCGUAGAUAUCGAGAGGAACACCAGUGGCGAAGGCGAGUCUCUGGACGAUUCCUGACGCUGAGGCACGAAAGCUAGGGGAGCAAACAGGAUUAGAUACCCGCGUAGUCC
rnacentral:rRNA from 1 species